GACGAACGCUGGCGGCGUGCUUAACACAUGCAAGUCGUACGGUAAGGCCCUUUCGGGGGUACACGAGUGGCGAACGGGUGAGUAACACGUGAGUAACCUGCCCACAACUUUGGGAUAACGCUAGGAAACUGGUGCUAAUACUGGAUAUGUUCUCCUGCUGCAUGGUGGGGGUUGGAAAGCUCCGGCGGUUGUGGAUGGACUCGCGGCCUAUCAGCUUGUUGGUGGGGUAGUGGCCUACCAAGGCGGCGACGGGUAGCCGGCCUGAGAGGGUGACCGGCCACAUUGGGACUGAGAUACGGCCCAGACGCCUACGGGAGGCAGCAGUGGGGAAUAUUGCACAAGGGGCGCAAGCCUGAUGCAGCAACGCCGCGUGCGGGAUGACGGCCUUCGGGUUGUAAACCGCUUUCAGCAGGGACGAAGCUUUUUGUGACGGUACCUGCAGAAGAAGCACCGGCUAACUACGUG
rnacentral:rRNA from 1 species